rnacentral:tRNA from 1 species
GCCGCCGUGGCGGAACUGGUAGACGCGCAAGUCUCAAAAACUUGUGAGGAUUCCUCAUGUCGGUUCGAGCCCGACCGGCGGUA